rnacentral:lncRNA from 1 species
GUCCAAGCUCACUCUGACUCCAUGGGUUGGUCUUCGGAAGAUCAAUGUAUCUUACUGGUGCUGGGAGGAUAUGUCUCCAUUCACAAAUAGUUUGCUGCAGUGGAUGCCAUCUGAGCCCAGUGAUGCCGGCUUCUGUGGGAUCUUGUCAGAGCCUAGUACUCGGGGACUGAAGGCUGCAACCUGCAUCAACCCACUCAAUGGAAGUGUUUGUGAAAGGCCUGGUACGGAUGUGGAUGCAAAUAGUGCUCCAAGAGGAUGCUGAGAAAGCAUAGGCGGAAUAGUUGACUGAUUAUUGAGCUGAUAAAAUACUUACAACAGCAGUUAGAGAAAUUCCAGUUUAGGCAUAGUUAAUUCAAACAGAACCCCAAUCCAAAUGCAGAGAGAAACUGAAAACCAAAAAUAAAGUUACUGAAAGGACCC